GCUCAGACACUUAAGAUUGACGGGGCCGCACAAGCGUGGAGCAUGUGGUUUAAUCGAUGAUACGCGAGGAACCUUACCUGGCUCAAAUGUAUGUUGACGUAUUCUGAAAGGGAUACUUCUUCGGACAAUAUACAAGGUGCUGCAUGGUUGUCGUCAGCUCGUGCCGUGAGGUGUCGGGUUAAGUCCCAUAACGAGCGCAACCCCUAUCAUUAGUUGCCAUCAGGUCAAGCUGGGGACUCUAAUGAAACUGCCUACGCAAGUAGUGAGGAAGGUGGGGAUGACGUCAAAUCAGCACGGCCCUUACGUCCAGGGCUACACACGUGCUACAAUGGCCGGUACAAAGGGCAGCUACCUGGUGACAGGAUGCUAAUCUCAAAAGCCGGUCUCAGUUCGGAUCGGAGUCUGCAACCCGACUCCGUGAAGCUGGAAUCGCUAGUAAUCGCGCAUCAGCCAUGGCGCGGUGAAUACGUUCCCGGGCCUU
rnacentral:rRNA from 1 species